rnacentral:rRNA from 1 species
AACUGUGCCAAAUCGCCCAGAAUGCACCCCACCUCAUCGGAUAUCACAAGCCGAGCAGGGCUGAGCCUGCAUAGCGCUUGGACGGGAGACCGCCUUGCAAAGCAGCUCGCUGCAGGCU